rnacentral:sRNA from 1 species
CAUCUGCAACCGCACGUUUUAAGUUUAAGUAUCUCUCUUUAGAGGUCACUACAUUACGGCGAGUCUAAGUAUUU